rnacentral:lncRNA from 1 species
CCUGAGGUAAUCUGGUGCGCCUAGCUUGGCAUUGUUGGCCUAUCUAAAUCUCUCUUCUCUUCGGAGCCAUGUUCUGCAUAUAUUUCCACCUUAUUGACUGGCCCCUGAACUUUAACAGCUUAUGGAGAGGGAGGAAUUAUAAUUUCUUUUGAUUUUCGAUCAGAGAGUACGUCUCUAAUUGGUCUUUUCUUUCUCCUAACCAACACUGUAGGAAUGUAUGACUCCCUCACCUUCUU